CUAAAUUGUCUUAAAAUUAUCUGUAAAAUCUCCUGUCUUCGUUUGUCGGUAGAGUUUCUGGACACCCUGUAUAACAACCACAACUAAAUUGUGUGCUAUAUACAGGGCGGGGCAUUAGUGAAAGGCAGUAAAAGUACUCAUUUGUCAUAGGAGAUACGAAAAAAAAUGUUAAGGAAAAAAAUAGGGCAUAGAUAAUAGGACUAAAAAUAUUUUAAAAUAUACAGGGCCACCUAUAUUGACCGGGUGGAACAAACUAUUUUUUUUACUUAAUGGAACACUCUAUAUAUCUUUACAUCUUUAAACUCUCCUCGAUGUUCUCGUUUUUUAAUAUUAGGUUUUGUAAUGUUAUAUGAAUUACCUAGUUUAAAAAAAAAUUACGACUUUUAUUAAUUUCCUAACAAUAUUAACACCCUGUAGAAUGGUACAGGUUUGACAUAGAAAAUCUAUUCAUAUUCAAAACUGUUUUGAUAUAUUCUGCUAUUGUCCAAAAUCAUUAACAUAUCGAAAUAUUUAAUUUUUAUAUACAGGGUUGGUCGAAACUUGGAAUGAGUAUUUUCUAAGUUUUCUCUCUAUUGUAGUAUUGUAAUUAAAUGCUAUUUUACGAUACCUAAUUAUUUAUUAAGCAUUUCCUAUAAUAUAUAACAAAUUGCUUUAAUUUGUGAGUAGUUCGUGAUAAUUUGAGCCAAAUUUUAUUGUAACCAUAAUUAGGUGAAAUUAGAUUGGGCAUGAAAAUAUUAAAUCAAAAAAUAUUUUUAGAAAAAAAUACAUAAUAAUGUAAACAUUUUUAAAAACUAUCUGACAACAGAUUUAUAGUAAGCUUGGAUGAAUCAGAAGAUGGUAUUGCGGUAAAUGGCUACCUUAUAAAGGGUUCCAAAGGAUGAUGGAUAAUGUUGUAGAAACAUGUAAUAAAUACUGCUUAAAACUCAAUUGUAAGAAGACAAAAAUAAUGAUCAUUAGUAAUACCGCCAACAUAAACGCCCAAAUUACAAUAAGCUAUACACUGCUAGAAAGAGUGGAGAAAAUAAUAUGCUACUUGAGCUGCAAUAUUAAGGAUACCUGGAAUAAUAGCUAUGAAAUAAUAACUCAUAUUGAAAGCGCCAAAAGCUCUUUUAGCGGUCUUAGAAAGAAUAUUUGCAACUUAUUAAUUGGUAUACCUACGCACAAAAAUUCUUAGAUGUUACGUUUGACUUUUAAAAAUAAUUGGUAAUAAUGGUCUAGAUCUAAAGUGUCUCAUCUAAAUCUGCUAUCGUAGCAUUUAUUAUUUAUCCCAAUAACAUUGCUUGGAAUGCAAUGAAGUAUGGAUACUUUAGUGUUACAUACAUGCAUGUGGUAGUAUUCAUUGCUUACUAGAAUUGCUGAUAGUGUAUUUGAUAUUAUUUAUAUCAAUAGUUUUUCCUAUUAUUUACCCUCUUCUCUACAUCCAAGUAUUAAAACUUAGACAAUUAUUGCUUGGUAUCUCUUAUUAAUCAUUUCGAAUAGUUGCAAAAGUAUUGUCAUGAAUACAUAAGCUGAUACUGCAUUAUAAUUAGAGAAUGCAUGUCAAAGUUAAUGAAAAUCCUCCAAAUAGAUAUUUGAAAAUAGAUGCAUCAGAAUAAGUAGAAAGCAGAAGCGAUAACGUACCUAAUAGGCAAUAUUUUAUAGGAUUGUGAACAUGGAUUACCAAAUGAUAUAAGAAAAUGAGAAUAUUAUUUGGUAGUAGUGUUAAAGAAACAAAACGAAGACACCAAAUUCAAAUGUACGCCAUAAAUUCAAGAAGUUAUCAAUAAAGAUUUAGUUGUGCUGCUUGAAGCUGAUCUACAGCAAAUGUUGAAAUGGAACCAAAAAACGUUUUGCCAGAACUAAAUCAUAAAUAAGUAGAUUUUAACGUUGACUACUGAUUAUGUAUAACCUACGAAAUAUAGAUAUAUGUAGAUAAUAAACAUUAACAUUCUACAAGUCGAUUAAUUAUAAUUUGAUUCAUUGAAAAAAGAAUAUAAGCCUCCGUGAUCUCCAUAUCAAAAUUAUCGAUUAUAUCAAAAUAUAGAGUUUUAGACUAAAUUAAUUAGAAAUAUAAUAAUUAUUAUUAUUGUUAGUUUACACACACCGUGCUUAGAUAUGUUUAAAUUAUUUAGAUAAACUGAAACGAGUAGUAGGACUAUCAAAAGUAUAGUAAGUAAGAAGUAAGAAUAUAAAAAAUAAGUAAGUAACUCAAAAAUAAUAUUGUAAUAGAAUCUUUUUUAAACGGUCUUGUAUUUUCGAUAUAUAAUUUUUACCUGUCUAUAGACUUGAUGUAUAAAAGUAUAAUAAAAUGUGUUAUUUUAA
rnacentral:lncRNA from 1 species